rnacentral:tRNA from 1 species
GCCUGGCUGGCUUAGUCGGUGGAGCCUGAGACUCUUGAUCUCUGGGUCAUGAGUUCAAGCCCCACGUUGGGUG